rnacentral:misc_RNA from 1 species
UGGAUGGCUCACCUUAAAUUGAUUAGCUGGACUUGUCUUGAUGGCUGGUUUGACUUGGCGUAAUAAGUAUUUCGCUGAGGACAUCUUUCGGGAUGGCCAACCACUUGACUGUAGUCUGCUUUCUAACCCUGUUCUCUUUUAGAGACAUUUAUAUAUAUACAUCUGGCCUCAAAUCAGGUAGGACUACCCGCUGAACUUAA